rnacentral:rRNA from 1 species
UACGUAGGGACCAAGCGUUGUUCGGAUUUACUGGGCGUAAAGGGCGCGUAGGCGGCAUGACAAGUCACUUGUGAAAUCUCUGGGCUUAACCCAGAACGGCCAAGUGAUACUGUCACGCUAGAGUGCGGAAGGGGCAAUCGGAAUUCUUGGUGUAGCGGUGAAAUGCGUAGAUAUCAAGAGGAACACCUGAGGUGAAGACGGGUUGCUGGGCUGACACUGACGCUGAGGCGCGAAAGCCAGGGGAGCAAACGGG